UACGUAGGGUGCAAGCGUUGUCCGGAAUUAUUGGGCGUAAAGAGCUCGUAGGCGGUUCGUCGCGUCGGCUGUGAAAUCCCGAGGCUCAACCUCGGGUCUGCAGUCGAUACGGGCGGACUGGAGUUCGGCAGGGGAGACUGGAAUUCCUGGUGUAGCGGUGAAAUGCGCAGAUAUCAGGAGGAACACCGAUGGCGAAGGCAGUGGGCUGGGCCGGCACUGACGCUGAGGAGCGAAAGCGUGGGGAGCGAACAGG
rnacentral:rRNA from 1 species